rnacentral:rRNA from 1 species
GACAGAGGGUGCAAACGUUGCUCGGAAUCACUGGGCGUAAAGGGCGUGUAGGCGGGAAGGAAAGUCAGAUGUGAAAUCCCUGGGCUCAACCCAGGAACUGCAUUUGAAACUCCCUUUCUUGAGUGUCGGAGAGGAAAGCGGAAUUCCUGGUGUAGAGGUGAAAUUCGUAGAUAUCAGGAGGAACACCGGUGGCGAAGGCGGCUUUCUGGACGACAACUGACGCUGGAGAACGCGAAAGCGUGGGGAGCAAACAGG